GUGCCAGCAGCCGCGGUAAUACGUAGGUGGCAAGCGUUAUCCGGAAUUAUUGGGCGUAAAGCGCGCGUAGGCGGUUUUUUAAGUCUGAUGUGAAAGCCCACGGCUCAACCGUGGAGGGUCAUUGGAAACUGGAAAACUUGAGUGCAGAAGAGGAAAGUGGAAUUCCAUGUGUAGCGGUGAAAUGCGCAGAGAUAUGGAGGAACACCAGUGGCGAAGGCGACUUUCUGGUCUGUAACUGACGCUGAUGUGCGAAAGCGUGGGGAUCAAACAGGAUUAGAUACCCUGGUAGUCAAGGGCG
rnacentral:rRNA from 1 species